rnacentral:rRNA from 1 species
AGUGAACGCUGGCGGUAGGCCUAACACAUGCAAGUCGAACGGCAGCACAGUAAGAGCUUGCUCUUACGGGUGGCGAGUGGCGGACGGGUGAGGAAUACAUCGGAAUCUACUUUUUCGGGGGGGAUAACGUAGGGAAACUUACGCUAAUACCGCAUACGACCUACGGGAGAAAGCAGGGGAUCUUCGGACCUUGCGCGAUUGAAUGAGCCGAUGUCGGAUUAGCUAGUUGGCGGGGUAAAGGCCCACCGAGGCGACGAUCCGUAGCUGGUCUGAGAGGAUGAUCAGCCACACUGGAACUGAGACACGGUCCAGACUCCUACGGGAGGCAGCAGUGGGGAAUAUUGGACAAUGGGCGCAAGCCUGAUCCAGCCAUACCGCGUGGGUGAAGAAGGCCUUCGGGUUGUAAAGCCCUUUUGUUGGGAAAGAAAAGCAGCAGGUUAAUACCCCGCUGUUCUGACGGUACCCAAAGAAUAAGCACCGGCUAACUUCGUG